rnacentral:lncRNA from 1 species
UAAUUAUGUGAUAGAGACUUGUUACUAUAUAUCUUAUGUCCUGGUGGUUUAUGAUUGAGCGUCUAGACUUGAUUUACUACUGUGACGUCUCAGACAUAUAUAUCUUCUUAAUCUGAUACUUUUACACCUGAACUCACCACAUUUAUAUCUUCUAUUUUUUGACAGAUAUAUGCAGUUUCUAUUACAAUUCGUAUCGUGGUAAGUUAUCUGGUGUUGUUCUCUCCGCCCCCAUCCUUUGUUUAAUAGUUUUUUAUGGUCAUUAUUUUUGGUUGCUGGAGUGCAAUGCCUAUAUCAUUAUAUGAUUUAAUUUUCUCUCCUUUUUGUUCUUUUUGUUUUGCAACAGGUUGGCUUUAUGCUGCUAGCCCUGAUAUGGAAAUUUGAUUUCCCACCCUUUAUGGUGCUAAUCAUUGCAAUUCUUAAUGAUGGUAUGUUCUUCCUUCCGCGACACUCAAGCAUCUUCUUCUCCUUAAACACUUGCAGAAAAUUUUGACUCUCAGACAAAUCUCUUAAGUUUUAAACCUCUCGCAGAAUUGAGUUUAACAGUAGAAAUUAUCAGGAGAAGUUCUUAAGUAAUAACAAAGCCUCUCGCAGAAUUGAGUUUAACAAUAGAAAUUAUCAGGAGAAGUUGUUAAGUAAUAACAAAUCAGUUCGUGCAGUUCUUGCUCCAAAUUAGUUUUUAAAAUCUGUAAAGAUUUACUAAAAUGAUGAAAUUCCUGCUUUCGGCUAAUUAGUAGUUUUCGAUACCAGGUACUAUCAUGACAAUUUCGAAGGACAGGGUGAAACCAUCUCCUCUGCCCGAUAGCUGGAAGCUUGCUGAGAUUUUUACCACUGGUAUUGUUCUUGGUAGUUACUUGGCAAUGAUGACAGUUAUAUUCUUCUGGGCUGCAUAUAAAACAAACUUCUUUCCGGUAAGGAAGCUACCUGCCAACCAUCACUUUCUUAUACCAUUUCCUAUAUCAAUUUCUGAUCAGUUGAUAUUUUCUUUUUUUGUUAAAGAGACAGUUAAUAUUAAAUCCUUUAAAGCACGAUAUCUAUUAUUAAAUUUCUUAUGCUGCAAUGUGUGUUGUUCUUUGAGCUGGCUUAUUUUCUUAUUAGACCAUCUCCAACCCAUGACACUAUUUUGGUGUGAAAAAGACACCAAUUUGGUGUGAAAACUACACCAAAUCAAAAUUUCACUCCAACCCAUCAACACCAUAUCCUACACCAAAAAGAAUCUUUUACACAUUAAAUGGAAUAUUCUCCCUUUUUAAGUUAUUUAUAUCAAUAUUGAAUUUGUACUUAAAUUUUAACAUGUUCAAUAAACAAAGACCUAAAAUAAUUAUAAAUUUAUUAAUAAAUUUAAGAGGACAACUUAAUUAUAUGAAUUCUCGUGCUCUUCCCAUAUGUGCUCGAUCAAGGCGUUGCGAAGUUCAAAAUGAGAUUCCUGAAUGAAUAUUUGAAAAAGUUUGGAGGUUCUCUGGAUGAUUUUUCAGAAAACUAGUUAUUAUCAUGCUGCUGUUUCUUCAGAUGGUGUACUGCAUAGAUGCAUAGGCAGGUCAUGUAAUCGUGGUUUCAUGCAAAAGUAAUGCAAACUUUUUAGUUUUAUUUAAUUUAUAUUUUAAUCAUUGUGUAUUUUAUUUUUGAAUCAAACCUAUUUAAAAAACAUAUCUUCUAUAUAAGAAUAUAAAUUUAUUGAUAUUUGGAAAUAAAUAAAAAACUUGAGCAAAAUAGUAAAGAAAGAAAAUUUAAAACAAUUAUGAUUGAAGAAUAAAUAACAUAACAUAAAACAACUUUAAUGGGACAUAGAUGGAAUAAUUUUGUUUUCAUUAACAUAUGUGAGGGUAUAGAAGGUAUUUUGAAAAACUCCAAAUUUGGUGUAAAAGUUACACCAAAUCAAUACUUGACACCAAAUUUGGUGUCAACCAAUUCAUUUGGUGUCAACUUUACACCAAUUUGGUGUUGGGUUGGAGUGAAUUUGACACCAAAUAUGACACCAAAAUGGUGUUUUGGCGUUGGGUUGGAGUUGCUCUAAGGCCUUUUAGUUUUGUGCUUGCCAAACACCUUUAAUUUUCUUUUCUUCUUUUUUCUAAUCAGCAUCUAUUUAGUCAAGUUAACAUUUCAGUGAUGGCAGGACAGUUCAGUUGUACUGACAAUUUUUUUCUCUGACAUAUAAGAAUACAUUUGGGGUAAGUUCACUCGAGAAGACCGCCCACGAUGACUUUAAGAAGCUUGCUUCUGCUAUAUAUCUUCAAGUAAGCACUAUAAGUCAGGCACUUAUAUUUGUAACAAGAUCCCGAAGUUGGUCUUUUGUAGAGCGUCCUGGUUUGUUGCUUGUUGCGGCAUUUGCAGUUGCUCAAUUGGUGAGGCAAUUAUCCUUUCACAUUAAGGGUACUGUUAUAGAUGUAUGGAAAUGAUUCUUAGUUCUGAUUUCUUUGACAAUCAGAUUGCUACCUUGAUUGCGGUUUAUGCGAACUGGAAUUUUGCUGCAAUCNAGAUAGUGAAGCGCUUACAAGCUAGGAAACACAUCUGUGGAAUGACUGGUGAUGGAGUAAAUGAUGCUCCUGCUCUUAAAAAGGCUGAUAUAGGAAUUGCUGUGGCUGAUGCAACUGAUGCAGCACGUAGUGCUUCUGAUAUCGUACUUACUGAACCGGGACUCAGUGUUAUCAUUAGUGCUGUCUUGACCAGUCGUGCAAUCUUCCAAAGAAUGAAAAACUAUACGGUGAUCCUCAAUUUUAAUUAUGUGAUAGAGACUUGUUACUAUAUAUCUUAUGUCCUGGUGGUUUAUGAUUGAGCGUCUAGACUUGAUUUACUACUGUGACGUCUCAGACAUAUAUAUCUUCUUAAUCUGAUACUUUUACACCUGAACUCACCACAUUUAUAUCUUCUAUUUUUUGACAGAUAUAUGCAGUUUCUAUUACAAUUCGUAUCGUGGUAAGUUAUCUGGUGUUGUUCUCUCCGC